AAUAGAUACCCGGGUAGUCCACGCCGUAAACGAUGAAUGCUAGGUGUCAGGGGUUUCGAGACCCUUGGUGCCGAAGUUAACACAUUAAGCAUUCCGCCUGGGGAGUACGGCCGCAAGGCUGAAACUCAAAGGAAUUGACGGGGACCCGCACAAGCAGUGGAGCAUGUGGUUUAAUUCGAAGCAACGCGAAGAACCUUACCAGGUCUUGACAUCCCUCUGAAUACGCCAGAGAUGGUGUAGGCCCUUCGGGGACAGAGGAGACAGGUGGUGCAUGGUUGUCGUCAGCUCGUGUCGUGAGAUGUUGGGUUAAGUCCCGCAACGAGCGCAACCCUUAGGUCUAGUUGCCAGCACUUCGGGUGGGCACUCUAGAGCGACUGCCGGUGACAAACCGGAGGAAGGCGGGGAUGACGUCAAAUCAUCAUGCCCCUUAUGACCUGGGCUACACACGUGCUACAAUGGCCGGUACAAAGGGCAGCGAAGCCGCGAGGCGGAGCCAAUCCCAAAAAGCCGGUCUCAGUUCGGAUUGCAGG
rnacentral:rRNA from 1 species